CUAACGCGUGAAGGCGAGCACUCUAGACGAACUGCCGUUGACAAAACGGAGGAAGGUGGGGAUGACGUCAAAUCAUCAUGCCCCUUAUGUUCUGGGCUACACACGUGCUACAAUGGCCGGUACAGACGGACGCAAAGCCGCGAGGUGGAGCAAAUCCUAAAAAGCCGGUCUCAGUUCGGAUUGCAGGCUGCAAUUCGCCUGCAUGAAGUCGGAAUCGCUAGUAAUCGCAGGUCAGCAUACUGCGGUGAAUACGUUCCCGGGCCUU
rnacentral:rRNA from 1 species